rnacentral:rRNA from 1 species
UAGUUUGAUCCUGGCUCAGAACACGCUGGCGGCAUGCCUAACACAUGCAAGUCGAACGAGACCUUCGGGUCUAGUGGCGCACGGGUGCGUAACGCGUGGGAACCUGCCUUUAGGUUCGGAAUAACUCAGAGAAAUUUGAGCUAAUACCGGAUAAUGUCUUCGGACCAAAGAUUUAUCGCCUUUAGAUGGGCCCGCGUUGGAUUAGCUAGUUGGUGGGGUAAAGGCCUACCAAGGCGACGAUCCAUAGCUGGUCUGAGAGGAUGAUCAGCCACACUGGGACUGAGACACGGCCCAGACUCCUACGGGAGGCAGCAGUGGGGAAUAUUGGACAAUGGGCGAAAGCCUGAUCCAGCAAUGCCGCGUGAGUGAUGAAGGCCUUAGGGUUGUAAAGCUCUUUUACCCGAGAUGAUAAUGACAGUAUCGGGAGAAUAAGCUCCGGCUAACUCCGUG